rnacentral:rRNA from 1 species
UACGGAAGGCAGCAGUGGGGAAUAUUGCACAAUGGGCGCAAGCCUGAUGCAGCCAUGCCGCGUGUAUGAAGAAGGCCUUCGGGUUGUAAAGUACUUUCAGUCGUGAGGAAGGUGUUAAGGUUAAUAACCUUAGCAAUUGACGUUAGCGACAGAAGAAGCACCGGCUAACUCCGUGCCAGCAGCCGCGGUAAUACGGAGGGUGCGAGCGUUAAUCGGAAUUACUGGGCGUAAAGGGCACGCAGGCGGUUAAUUAAGUUGGAUGUGAAAUCCCCGGGCUUAACCUGGGAAUGGCAUUCAAGACUGGUUAGCUAGAGUCUUGUAGAGGGGGUAGAAUUCCAUGUGUAGCGGUGAAAUGCGUAGAGAUGUGGAGGAAUACCGGGUGGCGAAGGCGGCCCCUGGGACAAGGACUGACGCUCAUGUGCGAAAGCGUGGGGAGCAAACAGGGAUUAGAUACC